rnacentral:tRNA from 1 species
GCGCCCGUGGCUCAACUGGAUAGAGCAUCUGACUACGGAUCAGAAGGUUGGGGGUUCAAGUCCCUCCGGGCGUA